UACGAAGGGGGCUAGCGUUGCUCGGAAUCACUGGGCGUAAAGCGCACGUAGGCGGAUUCUUAAGUCAGGGGUGAAAUCCUGGAGCUCAACUCCAGAACUGCCUUUGAUACUGGGAGUCUCGAGUCCGGGAGAGGUGAGUGGAACUGCGAGUGUAGAGGUGAAAUUCGUAGAUAUACGCAAGAACACCAGUGGCGAAGGCGGCUCACUGGCCCGGUACUGACGCUGAGGUGCGAAAGCGUGGGGAGCAAACAGG
rnacentral:rRNA from 1 species